rnacentral:lncRNA from 1 species
AGAUAAAAGUUUGUUUUAGGCUUCCCCAGGUUCACAAUAUCAUCCUUCUUCAGCCAGCAAACAAUCAAGAGCAGAAGGGAGCACCAUGAGCACCGUCCAAGCCUUUUACCCCUCCACUAAGGUGCUGCUGGAGCAGGGCUCCCGGUGUGGAUGCUUCAAGUGUGUUGCCCAAGUUCCUCCAGGCCCCACGGCUGAACCCAACUCCAGGGACCCCUUAGUCAUAGGAAGAUGCCUCACCCCAGGAAACAUCCCCUUCCCAGCACAUCUGCUUCCAGGGACUGCUCGAUGCCAGGGGUAAGUGUCCCCUCUCUGGCCUCA